GAAGCCUCUGUUUUGGUUUUCUACAUCUGUUUGUUUCAUUGUUUUGUUUAGUUUUUGGUGUAAUUGUUUUUGGCGAAGAUGAUUGAUUGCUUAAUAUUCUGACACCUCUUGUAUGAGAAUGGCAAUCAAAAGCUGUUCCUUGAGCACAUAAAGCACCUCUCUGAGCCUAUUUCUUUUUCUAUCUAAAUGUUUUUUUGAUUAGUGUAUCGAUCAGAAAUUCAGGCAACCACCUUUUGUAAAUUACUCGAAAGGUGUAUGAGAGAAAAAGCAACGAUUUUUUUAGAAAGAAAUGCCGACAAUUUGUUUCUAGCGAAGGUUCAAAAUUCCAGUGUGUUCACUUCCAUUCAAAUCUUUCUCUCUCCCUUUUAGAUCUAGCAUGCAGGUGGUGGCUUUAGAGAGAGAGUAUGUGACUGAUCUUGUGAAAUUGCCCACAAAUCUGGAUGAAUCGAACACCCUCCACUCGAUGCAGGUGUUAACUCGUCCUCUACACCCUUGUAUUCUACCGAUUUGUACCAAGGGAGUCCGAUUUUAGGCCGUUCAUGAUCAAUCCACUUGCUGAGGCUCUGUCGGCGGUGGAGUUGCGAUGAGAGGAGGGGUGCCCAAUGGUCGGGUGGAGGUGGUAACCAGGUGAUGGUGGUAACCGGUGGUGGUGGUAGUGGUCGGUAUAGAGAGAGAUGAGAGAAAGUGUAGGUUAGAGAGUGGUGGUGGUCGAGUGGUGGCAGUAACCAGGUGGUGAUGAUGGUGUUCUAUAAGUUAGAGAGAGUGAGAGAUAAAGAAGGGGAAUACAUAUUUAUUUAUUUAAACUAGGGUUAAGACCCGCCCACGUUGCGGCGCGUGUACAUCAUAAACAUUGAAUAGAUUAGUCCAAACAUUAUAUGAUGCAUUAACCAUAUGAAAACACACAUUUCGACGUAUCCAAUUGAACUCAGUGUAACUUAUAUAAGCAUUGUGAUUGGAUCAAAUGUAAAGUAAAUGGAAUUCA